rnacentral:rRNA from 1 species
UUCCGGUUGAUCCUGCCGGAGGCCACUGCUAUCGGGGUCCGAUUAAGCCAUGCGAGUCAAGGGGCUCCCCUUUUGGGGAGCACCGGCGAACGGCUCAGUAACACGUGGCUAACCUACCCUCGGGUGGGGGAUAACCUCGGGAAACUGAGGCUAAUCCCCCAUAGGGGAGGAGGUCUGGAAUGAUCCCUCCCCGAAAGCCCGUAAGGGCGCCCGAGGAUGGGGCUGCGGCGGAUUAGGUAGUUGGUGGGGUAACGGCCCACCAAGCCUACGAUCCGUACGGGCCCUGAGAGGGGGAGCCCGGAGAUGGACACUGAGACACGGGUCCAGGCCCUACGGGGCGCAGCAGGCGCGAAACCUCCGCAAUGCGCGAAAGCGCGACGGGGGGACCCCGAGUGCCCUCCC